CCUUCCCCAUGCUAAACUCCCCAUGCGUCCUUUCUAGAUCAACAUCCUCCACUCCUUGCUAUUUAUUUAAAUAUUUAUUUCAAAUUUAAUUUUACUUUUAUAUUUUUUAUUCAAUAUUUUUAUUCUUGUACUUUUUGUCUUUUUAUAUUCUGUUUUCAUGUUUUGUUCUUUUUAUUUUUAUUGAUCAUGCAUAUACUUCUAUGAUUUAAGUUUACUUUUUAUUUUAAAUUAUUUUAAUUUUUAUAUUUAAUUAUA
rnacentral:lncRNA from 1 species